CUGCUCCUGCUGGCUCACUGGAGAAGCCCGGCUGCACUGACAUGGAGCUGAACCUUCAUCAAUGUCACCAGGAACACCUGUCUUUACCUGCUAGUUCAUGUCAACAUGGCUGCUGCGGAAAGGGUCUAUCAAGCGAUGCAAAGCUGCAACAUCAUCAACAUGCCUGUUUGCUCCAAAUGAAGGCUAAUAUUGGCUAGAUCUAGAGAAAGAGGUCGGUUCGGUUGCCGACUCAAACAGAUGCUGCAACCAUUAAUCUUCAUCAGACAGCAAGACACGAGGUGGUCCAAGAUACUGUCCUCCAGUCCAGGAGAUCGACAGCUACUGUAACUUCAAUCAAAAGCCGACUCCAAAUUAUACGCCGAGUCUUGGGAACACCUGUGAGAGGUCACUGUCCAUCUGUGAGCUUGCACAAAGGAGCAAAGUUUUGCCGGCGACAUCUGUGAUUUAAACUUGUUUUAUUUUUCAUUUCGUUUACCUAUUUUCCCCUCGGAGAUCAAUAAAGUCUUUCUGAUUCUGA